ACCCUAAACCAUUUUCUAAUUCCGCCGCCUUCAAAUCAUCUCAUCUUCUCUCUUCUCUCAACCUAACCCUAGACUUUAUCAAUCCCCUCCCUUCUCUGUUCAUCUCCGGCGACCACCUUUCAACCCCAAGCCUCUAAUGGUUUCCCCCUUGCAUUGCUCAUCAUAUCUGAGAUCUUCAAGGGUCAUGGGCCAUGCCAAUUUAGAUCUAGGGUUUCUGUUUCUGUUGUUCAUGGCUUCUCCGGUGUGAUUUCAAGCAAAAUCACACCAUAUAUGUACGAUCUUUGAAGUUUAC
rnacentral:lncRNA from 1 species